GGGACCUUGGUUCUUAGAACCCCCAAUCAGCCUUAGGGUUACCUCACAGUGGCAAAAUGGCUGUUGGUGUGCAAGCCAUCAUGUCCAUGGAAGAGAGGAAUUGUCUCCCAGAACUUUGUUAAAACCACGUGCCCCUGGACAACUCCACAUCUCAGCCCUCCACAGUCUGAUCCAGGCCAGUGACACUCACUGCAGUGAGCCUGUGAAGGGACCGUCUGCAUCCUCCCUCCGCUUCCCAGGAGAAGCAUGGACCCCACCUCCCAUCCCCCAACUCUUUCCAUUGACCCACCCUCAAGAUCUAGAUCUUCUUGGCAAUAUGUUGAACCCCUCCAGAUUUGUGGAGUCAACAACAUCCUGAAGGAAUGCUGGACCCUCAUGAGGGGCCCUCGGAUGCUGGUUCUGGCUCUGUUUAUCAAAUUAUAGCUCUUUUCCAUGUUGGAAGGAAGGAUGCUGUUUGGAACACUUCCUCCGACAUGAUGCCUCUGGAGCACCUGAGUAGUUGCUCAUUCUUAACAGAUAUUAGACUGACCCCACUCUGAGCUCACUCUCAGUUAACCAAGACUGACUGGGCCUCAUCAGGUUGCUUCACAACCAGUGGUUCCAGAAAAGACAUUUUUACUACGGAGAGCAGCACCGUCAAGAAGCUGAGUAUGUAAAUCCCGGAGUGAGCUAGCAUCCAAUUUCCCGCUCCGUUCAUUGUCCAUCUGCUCUUUGCUUCUCUUUGCCGCUGAUGCCCUUUCCGUGGAGACCCCUUCCCAGCAGGAUUCUGUACCCACCCACGUGUCCUCCAUGUGAACACGCUGUCUGCUGUUUUGCUUCCCUCCCACCAAACCCAGAAUUCUGUGAACACCUUGAACACAAGACAGCAUUUUUCUUGCAGUCCUCAGCAUGCAGCAGAGGACUUGCCUCCUGAUAUGUACGUCUUGGACACUUUCUGUUUCUUUUUCUACAUUUUUCCACUUCUUUUCCCAGCUUUUCUCUAGUCUCAUUCUACUUCUUCAAGAGGAAGACUCCCAAAGGUGGCAUGGGAGAUGAGGAGCUAUUAUCUGUCACAACCACAGGGACUUUGCCCAUCCCCGAACACAAGGCACCCUUCAGAACAAUUAGGAAUCAUGUUCUUGCUGGCCCUAUCAUCAGCCACAGCUGUCCUCUGGCAUGCGUGUUCAACCCCAGGGCAUCUCAGGAGCAUGCUCCUUAGAGAGGCAUUGGAAGCGUCAUUUGGAGGCAGAGGAACACUGGCCAAAACGGUAUUGAGACAGCAAAGAAAAUGUGCCCACUGGUGAUCCUUCCAGGAGAUAGUCCCCAUGGGCUACCUGUACUUUUAGUUUCCACCUUAACAACAUAUCUGUAAUCUUGUACUGUUUCAAAACGGGACUUUGGAGGUUGUUUUGGGGAGUUCUUUCUCAUUUCCAACUUCCAUUUUCUCUUCAUCUGAAAUAUUAAAGCAAGUGACACUA